rnacentral:lncRNA from 1 species
GCUAAACUGGAGAUGGCGCAUGACAAGAACUGCCCCAAAUGUCACUCCUCUUUUGGAAAUCAUGAUGCCGCGCUUUUUUCCCCUCUUUCCUUAAAGGCUGUAGCUAUAAUAAGCCAAAUGUUCCAUGCUGGUGGAGUAAACACGCAUGUUUAAGGGGCAUCUGUGUUAGCAGAGGGCACUCGCGCACAGAGGUGUGUUACCUAGUGUAUUUAUGGAGCAAACCUCAGGACUUGGCGCUGUGGGAACUACCGAGUCAAAGUGCUGUGACAGCUUCACAGAAGCAAUGCAUUCCCAGUGGCUCUGCUCCUUCAUUCACCUAGACCUCAGACCAAGCAGUGCCCCGAGAUGCAAGUCCAGGGCCUUGUGAAGGCACCCUCAGAAUUAUCCACUUCUGGCCCAGCUACAGUAAGGCACUGAAGUAAGGGCCAGGAAAUCUUCAUAUGUUCUUGGACCUGGUAUGGCCUCUCAGGUAACCCAGUUAAUGUCUGUGUCUCCCAAUGAUUAAAAAAAAAAAAAAAAGGAAAGGAAAAGAGAAAAGAUGUUCCUGCCUCAAAAGGGUUAAGAAAUCAGACUGGGUGAUCUCUGGGACAGGGUUCUGAAUUUUCAUGCAACAACCACAAGCAACAGAGCACUGUAUGUGCCAUAAGUUAUCAUCAAGUAACUGACACUAACAUGGACUGGUCUUUAUUAUCUGGAAGAGGGUAACAGCAAAUUGCUGGGAAACACUGGAGAGAAGGGCUCCCCCUGCUGUCCUCCCGGAAGAUGGGCUGACUAGAGGCCACAGUUUUGGGCAUCCACCGGGUGCAGAAGAUUUGGGCCGUUGGGGUCAAUGCCAGAGAAUUUGUCAAGUUCAUCACCUUGAGAUAUGUGUAAUUUUAUUGGAAGUGAAAUAAAAGUAUAGCUGACAAAUAAAAGAUGAUUAUUUCUCUUAAAACACUUCAGAUUGAGGUACAGAAAAGUCAGCCUACUUUCAACCACCUAAAUGGUCUACCUCAGUCCAUUUAUGACCAUAAGAACAAGGAUGGUAUUUGUGUGGCCCACUUCGGGAGCUGGGAAUCUGUUUGAAUAUAUUGCUUUUUUUUGUUUUUUGUUUUUUUUGAGAUAGGGCUUGAGCUGUCUCAAAGGUUGGCCUUGGACUUGGGAUCCUUCUGCCUCAGCCUCCCUAGCAUUGGGAUUACAG